rnacentral:rRNA from 1 species
AUACGGAGGGUGCAAGCGUUACUCGGAAUCACUGGGCGUGAAGCGCGCGCAGGCGGCUAUUUAAGUUGGAUGUGAAAGCCUACGGCUCAACCGUAGAACUGCAUCCAAAACUAUUUAGCUAGAGUGUGGUAGAGGAAGAUGGAAUUAGUUGUGUAGGGGUAAAAUCCGUAGAGAUAAAUAGGAAUACCAAAAGCGAAGGCAAUCUUCUGGAACACUACUGACGCUGAGGCGCGAAAGCGUGGGGAGCAAACGGGAUUAGAAACCCUAGUAGUCC